AUUGAACGCUGGCGGCAGGCCUAACACAUGCAAGUCGAACGGUAGCAGGAAGAAGCUUGCUUCUUUGCUGACGAGUGGCGGACGGGUGAGUAAUGUCUGGGAAACUGCCUGAUGGAGGGGGAUAACUACUGGAAACGGUAGCUAAUACCGCAUAACGUCGCAAGACCAAAAAGGGGGACCUUCGGGCCUCUUGCCAUCGGAUGUGCCCAGAUGGGAUUAGCUAGUAGGUGGGGUAACGGCUCACCUAGGCGACGAUCCCUAGCUGGUCUGAGAGGAUGACCAGCCACACUGGAACUGAGACACGGUCCAGACUCCUACGGGAGGCAGCAGUGGGGAAUAUUGCACAAUGGGCGCAAGCCUGAUGCAGCCAUGCCGCGUGUAUGAAGAAGGCCUUCGGGUUGUAAAGUACUUUCAGCGGGGAGGAAGGGAGUAAAGUUAAUACCUUUGCUCAUUGACGUUACCCGCAGAAGAAGCACCGGCUAACUCCGUG
rnacentral:rRNA from 1 species